rnacentral:rRNA from 1 species
AGCAGCCGCGGUAAUUCCAGCUCCAAUAGCGUAUAUUAAAGUUGUUGCAGUUAAAAAGCUCGUAGUUGAAUUUCGGGACUAAUAUGUCGGUCGUGCCUCGGUACGCACUGGCUUAUUGGUUUCUCCUUUCUGAAGAACCAUGAUGUCAUUUAUUUGGUGUCGUGGGGAAUCAGGACUGUUACUUUGAAAAAAUUAGAGUGUUUAAAGCAGGCUCACGCUUGAAUACAUUAGCAUGGAAUAAUGAAAUAGGACGUUUGAUUCUAUUUUGUUGGUUUCUAGGAUCGACGUAAUGAUUAAUAGGGAUAGUUGGGGGCAUUAGUAUUCAAUUGUCAGAGGUGAAAUUCUUGGAUUUAUUGAAGACUAACUACUGCGAAAGCAUUUGCCAAGGAUGUUUUCAUUAAUCAAGAACGAAAGUUAGGGGAUCGAAGACGAUCAGAUACCGUCGUAGUCUUAACCAUAAACUAUGCCGACUAGGGAUCGGAUGAUGUUAAUUUUUUAAUGACUCA